AAAAAAAGCCGAUCUAUGUCCUUGGAUGCUUCAGCACGAAGGAUCCUUGAAUCUCCACCGAUUGUGUUGCCUACUUCCUUAGCAACGGUCUCCCAUGGUGUUCCCACGGUCAGAUUUGCCAAAAACUCACUUCCCCGAUUUACUGCAUCUGCCAUUGCNNNNNNNNNNNUGGGACAUCUGGGAGAACCUGUUGCAAAGGAAGCCCAUGAUCUCCAGGCAUCAAGCGAAUUGACAUGUCUAGCAUUGAACUAAUAGCUGAUUCUGAACUAAGCAACUGAGCUAAGGUUGAAGUUUCAUCAAUUGCAUCAUCCUUGAACUUCACCAGAAGAUUUCUAGAAAUGCCAUAGUAUGACUUCACCUGUAGAAAUACAAAACAUAGAUGACUAGGUC
rnacentral:misc_RNA from 1 species